rnacentral:lncRNA from 1 species
AAGGGUGUGUUUGGUAAGUCCAAUAAGCUAGCUUAUAGCUUAUUGGACUAGCUUAUAAGCUUGUUUGAAAAAAAUAAAAGUGUUUGGUAAAAAGCUUUUCUCACGAGCUUAUAGCUUUUUUUGAGAUGCUAUUUCAAGUAGCGUUUGAGCUUAUAGCUUAUAGCUUUUUACAGUUUUUUCCAUUUUUGACCUUUAAUUUAAUUUUAUUAUUUUUUAUAAAAUAAAAAACUACCCACUGAAACAAAAACUACCCACUACAUAUAAAUGUCCUUUUAUGUCUUUUUAUAUUUAUCAAUUAUUUAAAAAGCUAAUUUUACCAAACACUUUAAUUUCAAUCAGCUAGCUUUUCAGCUAUCAGCUAUAAGCUAGCUUUUCAGCUAUCAGCUAGCUUCUCAGCUAUAAGCUAGCUUAUAGCUUUAUUUUACUAAACAGAGCCUAA